rnacentral:rRNA from 1 species
UACGUAGGGUGCAAGCGUUAAUCGGAAUUACUGGGCGUAAAGCGUGCGCAGGCGGCUUUGCAAGACAGGUGUGAAAUCCCCGGGCUUAACCUGGGAACUGCAUCUGUGACUGCAUAGCUAGAGUACGGUAGAGGGGGAUGGAAUUCCGCGUGUAGCAGUGAAAUGCGUAGAUAUGCGGAGGAACACCGAUGGCGAAGGCAAUCCCCUGGACCUAUACUGACGCUCAUGCACGAAAGCGUGGGGAGCAAACAGG